rnacentral:rRNA from 1 species
UACGUAGGGGGCAAGCGUUGUCCGGAAUCAUUGGGCGUAAAGAGCGUGUAGGCGGUCCUGUAAGUCCGCUGUGAAAGUCAAGGGCUCAACCCUUGAAUGCCGGUGGAUACUGCAGGACUAGAGUCCGGAAGAGGCGAGUGGAAUUCCUGGUGUAGCGGUGAAAUGCGCAGAUAUCAGGAGGAACACCGAUGGCGAAGGCAGCUCGCUGGGACGGUACUGACGCUGAGACGCGAAAGCGUGGGGAACAAACAGG